rnacentral:lncRNA from 1 species
UGUUGGGGUCGGGGACGGGCGUCUGGGUGGCGGAGAGACGGAAGGAAAGGCCCCGGGACUAUUAGAAGCAGAGGUGGGGAAGGGAGAAUGGCUUGCCUAGCGGUAGAUCUAGACCUGGACUUGGGAAUGGUGAAGUCCGAGCAGGUAACAUAAAUGGAAAUGUGGACUAUUGAAGAUUCUGUAAUCUUCAGUGUCUCGAAGCUCGCCAGAUUCGAGGAGCCGAUGGCCAAGGGAAUAGCACAGUGUAUCUGACCUGAUUGACGAUUUCUGUUCUAGAAGUACAAGUUUACAGACUCAUGUGUAUGAUAACCUAGCUCCUUGGAUAAUAGCAUACUACUAGUUACAAGUCUAACGUGCAGUUUGGGUCACCAUGGAGCUACAGUGUGAAACACUGCAAAGUAAUAAAAGGUACAAACAGUAGGAGCCCUCUGAAAUUUAACAUUGAUAGCACUUGUAUGGGUUUUUGUUGAACCAGUGGACAAAGACUUAACAAUAGGUGCAAGAACAAAUCCUCUUUUGCAACCCAGAACUCAUUGUUGUAUGAGUUUUUGGUACAUGUAAGAAGGAAUAUCACGGGGUUGGGGAUUUAGCUCAGUGGUAGAGCGCUUACCUAGGAAGCGCAAGGCCCUGGGUUUGGUCCCCAGCUCCGGAAAAAAAAAGAACCAAAAAAAAAAAAAAAAAAGUCUGGAAGUCGCCCGUUAGGAGGAUAAUUUCCAGAGUUUAAUAAUGCCACUAGGAGGGUUGGGGAUUUAGCUCAGUGGUAGAGCCCUUGCCUAGCAAGCGCAAGGCCCUGGGUUUGGUCCCCAGCUCUGAAAAAAAGAAAAAAAUAAUGCCACUAGGAGCCUCCUGCUUAGCUCUAAUCCAAGUCAGGCAAAAGGACAUAGUUGGGGGCUGGAGAGAUGGCUCAGUGGUUAAGAGCACUGACUGCUCUUCCAGAGGUCCUGAGUUCAAUUCCCAGCACCCACAUGGUUUCUCACAACCAUCUGUAAUGAGAUCUGGUGCCCUCUUCUGGUGUGUCUGAAGACAACUACAAUGUACUUAUAAUAAAUCUAUUUUUUUUUUUUAAAAAAGGACAUAGUUGGGCUGUCUGAAGUUUUUCGAUUCUGUACAAGACCCUUACUGGUGUCAUUCAGGCAGUCACUAGACUUGCUCUCCCUUGGGUCCACUCUGUAAAAUGGGGACUUUUUUUGUUCUAGUGGGUUAUGUGAGAACAAAUCUGAAAGACUGGCUUAAAUUCUAUUACUCUCAAAGGGUAAGAACCUUUGCAGAGUGAAAAUUACCAGAUUUAUUUUGUAUUCCAUAUACCAAAGAUAUUUUGUAUAACAAAAUAGGUAUUUUGUUUUUUGGUAUCAGUUUAUUUGAUUUGUGUGAAUACCCUGUGUUGUGAAUUGCCCUAAUGGUCCUGAUGGCUCCAGGCCUGGCACUCAAUGGAGCCUCUGGAUAGAUUGGUCCUAGACGCUGGACAUAAUUUGAUCCAAAGUAAUCUGGACUAGGAUGUGUGCUAAUGAAGGCUCAGGGGAGGAUGGAGUUGGCUGCUGUGAGAACAGUGGACUGACUUCCUUUUUGGGGCACUUCAUAAUUUCCUGUCACUCCAUAAUCACAGCUCCCGAGGUG